AAUAAAAGAACUUGGAAAGUAGGACGCGAAAAGCGUAGUGUUCAAAUCUCUCUCCAUGAUCUAAUUCAAACAUGAUGUCAACUGCAAGGAAACUGCCUUUAGGAAGAAAGGGAUGAAGCCGCUUUUUCGAUGAUAACAGAUGGGAAUCCUAUGUUCAUCUUCUUUUCUAAUGGUAUGUAUACAUAUAUACACAUAUAAAUUUAUAUAUUUCCAUUUAUUCAGAAUUAUGUAGUGAGGGGUAAGCAACGUCGUCCUAAAUGUAAAAUAAUGAAAAUUUCGUUUCUCGUUGCAAACGUAGAGGGUGUAACGGUACCAAAUCGAGAAAAGUAAAUGUUUGCUUAUCAGCAGAAAGGUAAAUCGUUCUAAAUCUAAAAAAUUCUUAAAUAGAAAAGAGGAAAAGUUUGUUUUUUUCUAGAAAAUGAUGAUUACUUUCAGCCGCUCUUUUGAUUAUUAGUUUAUUAGAUUAACGUUACAUCUAGUUUUAAAAAUUUGGAGUAGAGCCGAUAGCUGUCACACAACCGCCAACACGCAGGAAGAGGGAUCAAUUAAUCAUGGUCGAACAAAUCUGGUUUCUACAUUCUUCACAAAAUCUUCAUUUUAUAAAUUAAAUGAAGAAGAAAAGGUUUCUUAACAAUACUACCGCAUUCAAAGGCUGUACUGGGAUUUUCUACCUUGACGCCGUACCUGUACCUAUCUCGGAAAAAUGGUUUGUGAGGAGGACGAUUGAAUAUUAUUCGGUUUUGC